UACGUAGGGGGCAAGCGUUGUCCGGAUUUACUGGGCGUAAAGCGUGCGUAGGCGGUUCGUUAAGUUCGUCGUGAAAGCCCCGGGCUCAACCUGGGAAUGGCGAUGGAAACUGGCGGGCUGGAGUAUGGCAGAGGGGGGUGGAAUUCCGCGUGUAGCAGUGAAAUGCGUAGAGAUGCGGAGGAACACCGAUGGCGAAGGCAGCCCCCUGGGCCAAUACUGACGCUCAGGCACGAAAGCGUGGGGAGCAAACAGG
rnacentral:rRNA from 1 species